ACAGAUCCGAGCACCUGUUUUUCAGUGACUGUCCCAUUAUGAUUAUGACACAGCCCAAGAGUUGUUUACGGCGGACGGAGACCUCCCUGUCCAGAUACAGUGACGAUGUCUUCUCAGUGACCAUCACGCCGAGGGGGACCCCAACACCUUUCAGAAGAAGCGAAAGUUCCUUUGCUCUUCUAAAACGAAGCCAACCAUCGUCUUUACAGUUUCCUAAAGUGGAAGCGACAAAUGUCAAUCGUGAUGACAAGCUUAAGCUUUCUAGACUUGGACAGAGAAUCCGCCGAGAUCCCCACCGGGCUAUUUCUAUCGACGAAUCCCCUAUCAUGUUACUUCCAAAAGCCAAUGUUCGAAACGAUUAUGACAUUCGUGCAAGUAAACGCGCCUUCAACGUAGUUGCCGAUGAUGAGCUAUCCACCUUUCACUUAUCCACAGUUCCACUUGAUCGAGAGGAAAUCAAAUCGUCGAGAUCCGUCUCCAGGUCUUCCAUGAAAAGUCGAAAGAGUCUCCAAAGUGAAACGGACAGUGGUUUUGGAUCUUCUCUUAGGCGGUGUGUUACUUUUUCAGAACUCAGUCUCAGUCGCUCUACAAUUGCACGGUCACUGGAUGAUAUCGAAAAAUCUUCCGAGUUGGAAGAUGUGAACAACAACAAUCUAAAGAAUAUAAACAUGUUAGAUUCUUUGUUUGGUCCUCUACCGGAAACAGAGGAUGAUGGCGGGCACUUGGACUCUUUUGCAGACGUUAUUCCGGACCCACCAAAAAUCAGGAAAAAACAAAAGGAUAAUGCGGAGGUAGAAGAUCAAAGAUGUACUUUAACCGAAACUGAUGUGAAAAGGUGUCACGAACAAGACUGCGAGAUUUGCAAGGGAUUUGCAUCUGAACACACGAGGAUUCAGAGAUACUUUGGAGGAGUUGACCAGUUCCUGCAAUGGCUAUACUCUAAAUGGGGAAAGAAGAGAACAGAAUUGCUGACAUAUUCUAGAGCAAAUCAUCUAAGUAGAGGCAAUCGUCCCAAGUUCUGCGACAUUGUCAGACAGAAGGAGCUCCAUUACCGGGAUGAAGAGGACAGGUCGGAGAGUUCCGAGUACAACUACUACCGACAACAGGGGCACCUGCUCACCAGGUGGCGCAAACACAGCAAUGCAAGACCGAAAAAUUCCAGAAAAUCCAGUCUGGCUCAAGAAGAUUUAGUUGAUCAAAAUGUGAACGACACUGCUCCUUUUCAAAGGCAGGGAGUUAACCAAUCAAAUCUCUCCACUCUUUGGAUGUUGGGUAAGGAGGGGCGUGGUGGUACGGAGGGACGGCCAGGGUCCCCCACCUCUACCGUGGACGGGACAGACAAUCAGCCUGACCCACCAAAAGGCAAACCCAGCACAAAAACGGACAGCAAGGAUGAAAAAAAGAAAACCGAACCUAUUAGUGUGCCGAGUGAUAGAGAUGGUCGUCAAUCUCCUGUCCAACCCCCACCCUCCCCAGAACCCCUGACUCCGAAAGAAGACCCCAAUAAGGACGCAGAUCUCCUGAAGUCUCUCCGAGAAGCUGAGGAAGAAGAGGAAAGGCGAAGAAGGGCCCUUGUCAAAAAAGAGAAGAAGCCAAUACAUCGCACACGGAAACCAAAGGAAGAAAUGGAGGAGAAAGUGGAGCCCCCCAAACCGGCCACACCCCCUCCUCCUCCUCAACCCAUUGAGGACACGAAAAACAAAGACAUUAAGGUUGAUUUAGAGGUCCCCAGCCUGCCGACCUUUGAGGACAAGAAGAAAGACAAGAAAGAGAAACGGAAAGCAGACCGCCACCUGGUGUCCCAACCAAAGCAUGAAACUCCCCCUCCUAAAGACCCUGAGGAUGAUUUAGAUGACCAGCUAAAGCAAAGACUGAAGAAUUUUGACUUUAACAUUAUGGAGAUGAUGGGAGAAGAUUCUCCAAGGAAAAAUGUCCAGAAGGCUACGUGGGUUACAGGGCGGCUAGCUUUGUCCCAGCAGUCCAGCAGAUUCACCCUACCCAUCGACAUGGCACGUCUGGAGCAAAUGACGCCAUUAGAUUAUGUGAAAAAUUUCUGCAUCAUCAAGAGGCGACGGAAAAAGCUUUAUCAGGACAUCUUUGUAAAACACAAAGAUAAAACUGGCCAAAUACCAUUCAAGGACCUGGAAAAAGCCUUGACAAUGGUUUUGGUGAAUACACUUACAUCUGAUGACUACAAGAGAAUAGUGGAGCUCCUAGAUAUCUCGGAUUCCACGCGCGUGGAUGUGGAUGGAUUCUCUGCAAUGGCUGCCCUCGCUGAAAGAUUGAUGUGUUCAACACAUGUGUAAUUCCCAAGAACAAGUGGAUCAACCCGAUUAUCAAAAGGAAAAAAUAGAAUGUGCAGACUUUAGUGCUCUGGAAUGGAAGUUAACAGGAGUUCAAGUGAACCCUAAAAUUGUCCGGAUUCUCAAGGAACUGAACUGAUUGAACUGAGUAGGUCCGCACUGCCAGUCCCUUCAACAUGGUCCAUGUAUCUAGUGUUCGGAUCGAGAUCCAGUGAGCAGCCUGUCCGCUCGGACAGAUAGACUCAAGCUUUAACACAACAUGCCCUGUUGAUAGCAGCUGUGAUAAUAGAUUUCUCUUUUCGUUAUUCAGGCUAAUAAUUUCAGUCUUUUUUUUUCUUUCUAGAGAAAUCUAUUUUGAUAGAGUUUAGGAGCAUUUCUGUGAUAAAUGUAGAAAGACAUUGCCCCCUCCAAUUGCAAUACACUGCAUUUAAGAGGAAAUAAUCUAUUAAUCAUUUGUAAUUAUUACAAUACUCAUGUCAUCUCUAGCAAUACAGUAUAGACGAAUGUCAGAUGAUUUUUAAAGAGAACCUCGGAAUAUCAUAUCACUCUUUAAUUGAAUUAAAUCAUUGUAGAAC
rnacentral:misc_RNA from 1 species